rnacentral:rRNA from 1 species
AACGAACGCUGGCGGCAGGCCUAACACAUGCAAGUCGAGCGAAGUCUUCGGACUUAGCGGCGGACGGGUGAGUAACGCGUGGGAACGUGCCCUUAGGUGCGGAACAACAGUUGGAAACGACUGCUAAUACCGCAUGAUGUCUACGGACCAAAGAUUUAUCGCCUAGGGAUCGGCCCGCGUUGGAUUAGGUAGUUGGUGGGGUAAUGGCCUACCAAGCCGACGAUCCAUAGCUGGUUUGAGAGAACGACCAGCCACACUGGGACUGAGACACGGCCCAGACUCCUACGGGAGGCAGCAGUGGGGAAUCAUAGACAAUGGCGCAAGCCUGAUCUUGCCAUGCCGCGUGAACGAUGAAGGCCUUAGGGUUGUAAAGUUCUUUCACCGGUGACGAUAAUGACGGUAGCCGGAGAAGAAGCCCCGGCUAAC